ACAGUUACACCCAAUGUAUCUUUAAUGCUUUUCUUAGAUAAAAGAUUGCCUUGAUGUAGCAUGUAUUCUAUAUGACGUACCUUUUAGGCUGAAACUCUUUUCAGAUUCCAUCAACUGAAAUGUGGAUCAAAAUAACUGAGGUAUUUCAGUGAACNGCCUGAUCAAAAGAUGCCUUUCUUAGGGGGAAAGAGGGAAACAGGACAGCCCUGAAUCUCAGCUUUUUCUCCAAAGAAUGCCAAAAAAGAAUAGCAGCAGUAAGAUAAUCUUGAUUAAAGCUGACUAUGAAUGGGUACUUUGAGAGAUUUUGUCAAGAACUGUACGAGUACUUGAUUAAUCACACAUACAUUUAUCUGUAGGCUAUGCUACAGGAAACUGGCAUGGUGAAUUACAGGGAAAGUCAGUUUUCAUCUCUAUCAAAGUGAUGUUUCCUGCCACAGUGAGGCAAAUCUCCUGCAGUAACUUUGCCAUUUAUACUGAAAUCCUGCUUUGCAGUCAGAUGAGCUGAGGGUAUUCUUAGCCAGUUAAUAUGAAUGUCAGCAUAAUGCAGCUGCUCUACAGUGCUUUACAUUAUGAAAGUAGGACAGACUAGAGUGAUUAGAAGUCACCAGGUUAUUUGUAAACCAGAGCAGUGCUGGUUGCUAUUUGCCAGUAGGAAGUUCUGACUUUCUUUUUCUCCCACAGAUGACAAAAAAAAACCCAUUUCAGAUGCUGAAUGGCCAAGUUAUCUACAUCUCCACAUUAUCUGGAUUAGAUAUGUCUGGAAUAGUGAAAGGUGCUUCUCGGGCUGAUCUGACUCACCCUUCGGUUGCAUGAUUACUGGAACUGAUGCAAGAGAGGCAAUGGAAAUGGGUACCUGAAGACAGAGAGGUCAGAUGCAUUUCUACAGCUAGAGAUCAGUCUCUGAUUAGAUUAGGCCAACCACAAGGCUGAUGCAGUUAACCAGAAGACAGAGCCUUGCCUCCCUAGGGAAAAUAACCCUUUCAGAUUCUGUUCCACUUCAUCCCUUAUACCAGAGAAGGACAUUGACCUGCUUCACCGUGUAGCUGGCUCACAACAACGUGGGUUACGUGACAACCCGUUUUUCCAGUUAAUGCUCAGCUGGGCCAACUCCCCAGCCUGGCCCUGCACGCAGCAGGCACCUUA
rnacentral:lncRNA from 1 species